rnacentral:tRNA from 1 species
GCCCUGGUAGAUCAAUUGGUUAGAGCGUCGGACUUUUAUGGUUCUUAUCCGUAACCGGGUCAUCCGAAGGCUGCGGGUUCGACCCCCGCCUGGGGCG